UGCCAGAGAAACUCUAGCCUAUGCACUGAUGAGGUAUGAACAAGUCCUUUCCUGCAGUCUGAUCUGUACCAGUGAAAAAUCUGAGAGCAGUCUCAAUGUGUAUUGAUAAAGAGGGGUGUAACUAAAUAGGUCUCAGUAGUUCUAAUGAAUCAGGCUGACCUACAUGGGCUUUCAUGGAGAUCCAAGACACAUUAGAGAAGAAAAAGCAAAGUGCAUGGUCAUGUGCUUGGUGUGCCAUAUGUGGUCACGUGAGGAAGCCCAAGCUUCUUCGAUAUUUCUUCCUUUAGGAUAUAGAGCUUGCUUGGUCUCCCUGCACAUGUGGACUAGACUCGUUGAUUCAUUUCUAAGGAAUAAAAUAUGGCAGAAAGAAUAAUGUGCUACUUCCAAGGUAGAGUCAUAAAAAGGCGUUACAUUGUGGUUUCCUUCAUGAUGGCCCAUCUUUUCCUCUAGAGGCAGCCUGCCAAGAAUAAUCAAGAGGCCCUGAGCAGAGGCCUACAUGGCAACCUAGAUCCAGGAAUGACAAUUCCCUCCAAGAACUGUGCCCGUGAGCCAUCAUAUAAGCUCAUCUUCCUCCAUGGUCCAAGCUGUUCAAGAAUACAGUCCUUUCUUCUAGCCUGACUGCAGUCUCCAGAAAGGCCUUAGACUAAUCACCCAGGGCUUAGUCAUCCCUGGAAUCCACACUCUCAAACAAUGUGUGAGGCCAAGGAAGGAACUGGUAUGCCUGGGAUUUACUCUAUCUUCACUGUUUGUACAUUCACUGUGAAGAGAGCAUUGUGCCUCAGAGUUCAGAAAGCUGGACUGCAGUAUUGAAGAAGGCUGUGUUUCCUAACAGUCUGGUGCCCUCAGGAUGUUGGACAGCUGAUGGAUGGUGUGGAAUACAUUCUGUUUUCCAGCAACUCACAGUCUUCCUGGAAAAGACAGGCAAGAUACCCAAGAGGAGGCGGUAGAGAAGAGAUAAGACAGUGGUGAUGAAUCACCAGCUAAACAAUUUAAACCAACUGUACUGGCUCUUAAAGGCAGAAGCAAGGGGGUAGGCUGGAUUUGUGAUGAGAGACUUCAGUUUGCACUGCAUUGGGAUUUAUUUGGACUGUGGAUAAUAAGUUGUGCUUUUGUGGGUGAGGAACAGACUCGAUGAUGUACUUGGAAAAUAGGAGUUUGCAAUCACACAAACUUGGGUGUGACUAUUAGAAGCCUGCCACCAUUAGUGAUAGACUUAUUGAAGUGUAGUUAACAAUGGCUCUAGUUUUUUUCAUCUUUCUUCAUGGCUGGCUUCAUGGCCUUGUGCUCUUUCUCCUGGACUCCCAGCUUUCCCACCCAUAAAAUAUAGCUUACAAAGUCUCUGUCCUGAGUGUGCAUGAAACCUGGUAUGGAACAAACGUCUGAUGUAGUGGGUAUUCGUUUCCCGACUUGAGGGAGGAAAAUGGUUGCGGCUCACUGACGUGUGUCAGCCAUUGACUACUCUGAGCUCUGGGCAGAGUUUGAGCUGGAAUUGUAGCAGAGAAAUGGGGGGAAAUGAUGAAUAGAUAGAAAGGAUGAAUAGAUAGAAAGGAUGAAUAGAUAGGCUCCAUGCUUUUAAUCUAGGAUGGGCUUAAAUCCGCCAUCAUAACAGCCAUCUUAGUAUCUUCGUCAGUUCAGACUCUGAGGGGCCAUUUAAGCACAACAGGACAAUAUGAUUUCCUGAAAUGUAUUCUAAGUUCUGAGAAAAUUUUUUCAAAUGGGUAAAAGUCACAGGGAAAAUAACUGUUAAUACUAAGAUACAAGAACAAUAUAGGAUGUAGACUCCCUUUUCAUGCCAGACAUGGGCAGUUAUGAAGCAGAUAGACCUAAUGAUAUAUUGUUGCUGAAUUUUCUCAGUUUUCCCAGAAGCUUUUGUUAGGUGAUGAUUAAAAAAAAAGCCAGCAUUAUUAUCCUGAAGAAAACCAGAGCAAGCCCAUGUCUGCCUGCUGCAGGCUGUCAGCAAUAAGCAACCUAUGUAGUGCCAGCUUCUGACCAGAGUCACUUAGAACUCUCUGUCUGAGCUCCAGUCAUUUGGCUAAUGUGCCCCACAUGUCAGUGAAGUGACCUGUGACCUGCCUGGCCCCAGGAGCAGCUCUGCGAGCAGCUCUGUUAGAUUUCUGCCCAUAGCACUUGGCUGUAACAGAGUGGAGAGGGGAGAAAUCAAUACAACCUGAACCCAACGCACACUUAAAACAUCAACUUUCAACUCUGGGAUUGUUCCCUGUCAUGGACAUCCAAAGUGCUUUUGCUCAGAGACAACUAAGGAGACACAAGGGAGGAAGGGGAAAUGACUCCAGGGCAUAGGCCGAGAAAGAUGCUGUUAUAGAUGGGGAUAUACACAGGGGCAGGUAAAGGAACAGCUCUAGAAAGAACACGGCCUGCUCACGUGCCAGCUGGGCAUCCUUGGGUAUGUUUCUCAACCUCUCUGAGCCUUGGUUUCUUAUUUGGAAAGUCUAAUGAUGACUGUAAUCUUCCCUAAGAAUGGGAGGGUUGCUUUGGUAUUAGUGGAUGUAACAGGCACCACACAGUUGGGGUUGGCUCAGGGUGACUCACGAGGACAGCUUGUUAGGGUUCAGGAAGGCAGACCAAAUGCACUGAGCAUCAUUUCCUGAGUCACUCAAAUACAUGUUAUAAUUUAUGUCACCCAAAGGCCUGUUCAAAGAUAAUUUCUGUGGUGCGUCAUGGAUGUGAAAGUGAUAUAAAAGAAAUGUCCCUUCUUGCUAAGACUUAGCAGUUUCAAAACAAAUCUUAAGUGAGACUUUUUACAAAAGAGGAGCAGGAAUGGUAGAAGGAAGCAGAGGAAGAGAAGGAAGCUGGUUAGUUUGCAGGAUAAGUAGAGUUGAUGGGAAGGACCUUCCAGAAAAAGGUUGUUUCCACAGGCAGCUGGCAGAUGACGCAAGCCUUGUGGGCUACUUGUGAAGAGAUUCACCUUGAGAACUUGAGAGCCCCAUAAAGGUCUCUAAGUUGGGACAUGUCUGCAUUUGGACACCUCCCCUUGGCUUAAUGUACAAUAGGACAAGGUGUUGUUGCAUACAAGUAUUUAGGGGACUAUUUUCUCCAACCCUAGCAAAUACAUAAAUCUAUAGCCUAUCGGGAGACCCAGGUCAGUAAUUCCACAAACCAAGGAUGACGUCUGGUCACUGAAUCAUUCCCUAAUGGGCACGCUGCUAUUUCCAGCAGGCAUUGAUUUCUUAGCUUUCCAGCUCUCCCCCACCCCAGCUUAUACCCCUUGAUAAUACACUUGUCUACUUCUGCUUUGCCUGCAAGAUUGAGUUUAUUACUCUUCAUUACUCAUCCACAUUCAUUUAUAAACAAUUCCAGAGAGAUAGUAACAGCUUCUGGCCCUCCUGGUAUCUGGCGAAGUUAAGAAAACUGAAGUGCUUCUAAUCUUAAAGGUGAUCAACUGUGCCAGCCAAAAUACAUUAACAUUUGUGGAUAAUCUCCACCCUCUGAAUAAAGAGUAAACAAAUGCUUGCAUGUUGUCUCAUUUAAGCUAUCCUGGUAACUCUUUUAGCUGUUACUAAGAUAUCACACUACUUCUGGCGAAUCACAUACAUCAUUGUGGUGAAUCUAGUGUCUCUGCAGUACAAGAAGAUUCUGCUAAUAUCAAACAUGUGGAAGCAAAUGAAUAGCCUUUAGAGAAAUAAGUAGAACUUGUAAAAAGCAUAUCAUACUUACUAUUUUAUGACAACUUUAUCACCUGUGUUAAGUACCAAAUUAACAAAAAGAAUGUUUUUAUGAGUUGUAGACAAGUUAAAAUCAAUUUUAAAUAGUUGUCAAGAAGCAUGGCUGUAAAGGAUACUUUAAGACAUGGUGUUAAAACAAUAGCCCGGUGCAUUCAUGUUCCUGAGCAUGACUGGGUCCUGGAACUGCAAGGGUAGGCACUGAAUGUGUUCACACACUGCACUUGGUGCUAGGUCAUUUCCAGCAAUAUUCUGACAAGAAGCUUCAUAGGGGAUUUUACAGAAUGAAAGGCAUAAGGAAAAUCUACCCUCUACCACCUAGUCUGCCUCUUUAAGCUUAUUUUACAGUUGAGCCAGAACAUAGAUGACCAACACCCAACAGGUUGCGAUCUAUUGAUUGCUUACAACUUUUAAGUUGAAACUCUAGGUUGUAAGAAGUAGGUGAGUAGUGUCUCCCCUGAGAACAUUAAGACCAAUAUUCUUCCCUUAUACCUGCUGUGCAUGUCAUUAAGCUUUAAUGCACAUUCUUCCAGUGCUGUGCGCUUAUUUUUAGAUCUUUGUUUCCUCAUUAGAUGUAUAGAGAAGACAGUUAAUUCAUGUUUUACAUCCCACGAAGCACUUUGAAUAAGUUUGAUAUCAUAGAACUAAGGCAGCCAUUAGUCCUCCCACACAGCCCUCAGUGAGACUUUAAUUAAGUCACCCUGAUGAGUGGGGUGACUUCCACUAGAUCUCUAUUUCUUGUGACUCUAACUUUCAAGUGCAGCAGAGUCACCCUGGGGAAGCACUUACAGCCAGUGAUUAUGUUAGGCCAUCUAUCUGCCAUAGUGAUUAAAGAUAAAUUUAAGAUGAUGGUAUCUAAGUAUAUUCAUUUUAGAGAGUCAAUAUUAGUAAUAUUCCAUUACUAAGUCAGUCAUUAUAUCUAAUUGAGAAAAAAAGAGCUAAUAGUAUUUAAUAAGUAUUUAUUCUAAUCUAUGAAAUAUGUAUCUAGCUAAAAUGCAUUGGGAUGUCUGUGCUGGAGACAUCUGCUCAUGGGAAGUUGCUACAACACAAGUAAAAAAGAAAAUUCUACUCUUGCCUCUGGAACUUCAUACCAGUAUUUUUGGGCUUAGGCAAGGUAGCUUGAAAAGAAACGUAAGAGAAAAUUUCUCUAAAUUAACCCUGAGAGGAAAAGACCACUUAGAUAAUGGUCCUUCCAACGUUCCUCCCCAAAUACAUGGAGGAAGAAGUGUGACUACAUUACUAGACAAAGAGCCUGAGUGUGAUGGGGUGGGUGCAACAAUCAGCUACCAUUUUACAGUCUUCAUGGUUUCCUAUUUCCCAAAGCCAUAUAUAUAUUUGAAACAUUAUUUAUCUAAAGAUUUAAAAUAACAAAACCACUACAAAGGCUCUGAAAAAUUCUAUGGCUAAAGCAUUAGUUCUAAUUCUGCAGCAGCUGAUGUCCUCUAGUGAGGCUAUCUGGCUGCACCACCUCCUCUGUGACCCCCUCUUUCAUAACUUCUGGUUCAUUUGACCUCAUCCCUCAGCCAUACCUACUGCUAUCACCUUCGAAUCUGGUCUCCAAAUAUCUUCUGCCUGCUUUUCCCAUUAUUGCCUCUUGAACAAAUGAAUGAUCACUCAAAUAAGAAUCAUAUCCUAUCCCUCCACUGCUCUCACCCUCAUUGGAUUUCCAGUGCCUUAAAAUGAACCUCCGAGGGGUUGGGGAUUUAGCUCAGUGGUAGAGCGCUUGCCUAGGAAGCACAAGGCCCUGGGUUUGGUCCCCAGCUCCGAAAAAAAAAAAGAACCAAAAAAAAAAUGAACCUCCGAAUUUCCCACAGCCUGUAUGACUCAGUGUUCUCUGACUCUGAAUCUGCCCUUCUGGCUUCUACUUUUAUUGUUCUUGCUUUUAGUAUCUGCCAUCUGUACACCCACCCAACUAAGCAGCCAGGAAUUUCCCGUGGUCAUUGCUUACAUUUCUGAUAUAUUUUUAAUGGCCCCUUAUCUCUUUGUUAUUUUGGUAUCAUUUAUUGAGACAGAUUUCCACAACGACCUAUAGCUGCAGACCCCACCCCCAUAUGUUGCUCUCUGUUAUAGUGUAUUGAAAAGUGUGGACCCCAGAUCAAAAACAUUGGCAACAACUAAGAACAUGUCAGAACCAUACCUAGGAUUGCCAAGAUAUGCCCAUGGGUGUAAUUAGUGGCACGAAUAUUAUAGGCGUGAAUAAUAUCUCUCUGAAUAGAUUUAAAGCCCUCUCCACAGGAGGAAAUAUUUGCUUGAUACUUUCAAUUUGGUCAAGAAACCAUGUUGCAGGACACAUAGGCCCCAGGUGUAAACUUACUACUAUUAUUUUGCUAAAUGGAUAUAAUAUCAAACUAUCCUCUAAAUGUUUAUCUUCAUGCCUAUAGAGCAGACCUCAUCAGAGAAAUGUCUUUGUGCAGUAGAUGGUGAGCAGUUAACUGCAGAGAAAUGCUUAGUCACAAAUGGGGUAUCUGUCUCAAAUCUUCCCUAACAGUGUAGGGACCAAUGCGGAAUUGGGGGAGGAUUUUAAUGGCCAAAGGUCAGGGAGAACUAGAGCUAUACAUUGUCUUCUGGGCAGGACAGGGCAGCUGUGCUUAUGGAUUUGCAGCAACUGUGACUGCCCACACGAGACCUACCCAAGAUCAAGCUAGUCUAUAUUUCAGCAUGGAGGAGAAGGAGGUGGCGGGAGGAGGAGGAGGAAGAGGAGGAGGAGGCUCCUCCCCUUGACUGUGGAGUUAUGGACAGUUGAUGGUAUCUAGAAGAGAGAGAGUUGGUAUUCUGUAAGGGUGUGGUCCCUGGUAGGCCAGCCAUGCUCCAGUGAAUGGUCUCACAUCCUUGGGAAGAUGGGUUAGCACAAAUUGGACUUGAUGGGUUAUUAAACAACAAUAACAAAAGAAGACAUGGAGUUUGGAAGGACUAGUGAUAUAGGGGUGGCACUGGGUAAUGUUAGGGGGUAGAGGAAUAUAACAAAAUAUGUUAUAUGUGUGUAUAAAAUUCUCAAGAAAUUAAUAAAACUUUUAUAGUAUUUAAAAAGAAAGAUUGGUUAUCAGUCCCCAUCCCUCCCUUGCUGAAUCAGAAGCUCUGGAGACACCCCAGCCACCUGUGUAUCCUUGAACCCAUAGGUGACUCUGACACAAGCUCAAGUUCUCCUAUUUUUUUUUUGUAUGUGCAUCACAAACUAAUAGUUUCCUCUUUAUUUCUUUAACCCACAUUGUCUCACUCCCCCAGGAGAUGCAGGAACACUCAGGGACAAGACUGUGAUUAUAAUAUACAUGCACUACAGGAGGCAGACUGGUCAUAUCUACUGAAUGAAUGAGUGCUGUGGAACACAUACAGGGAAAUAGUGCUGUAAAAUAGACCUACAUCUGCUAAGGGUUAAUCUUCCAGUGUCUGUAGGUACUACAGAUAACACUCCUUUCCAUUCAUUUUUUUCCUUAUUUACAUAUGACCAUGCUAAAUUCUAGACAUUAUAAGUACAAACAUGAACAGUUGUUUUUUCUCUUAAGAAUUUAUAGACAAAUAAAACUUCAAAAUAAAAAACCCACAGUUAUGCUAUCUUGUUAAAUAAUAUAAUAAUAAGACCUAAGAAAAUCUAUCAAGAAGUAUUCAGAAUGGGCAUGUAGUUGUCUUUGAUAUAAUUUAGUUGAAAGAGUAAUCAUAAGAAAACUAUCCAGGAACAUGUACACAAACACCGAAAAUAAUCAUUUGCCAGUGUUAUUUAUAUUA
rnacentral:sRNA from 1 species